AUAUCCAUUAUCAAGCAAAAUGUCAGUUGAUGUAUCUUGUUUUUUCUUUGUCUUUAUACUCCCUGCUGACAUCUUUGUCUUCUUGAUAGCAUAAAAUCACUAAUUACCUAUUAAGCACUAUGGAUAAAACUAUUAAUCACUAUCGAUUGAUCACUGUGAAUAAAAGGCUCCAUCUUUACCUUGUUUACUGAUUUGUCAUACCUACCUAGCUUGAUUUAUUUUGUUUUAAGAAAUCAUUCGGAUGUUUGCCCUAUCAACUUUUCGAUGGUACUUUCUGCGCCUACCAUGGUGACCACAGGUAACAAGGAAUCGGGGUUCAAUUCCGGAGAGGAAGCCUAAGAAACGGCUACCAUAUCCAAGGAAGGCAGCAGGCGUGCAAAUUACCCACUCUCGACACGAGGAGGUAGUGACGAUAAAUAACAAUACAGGACUCUUUCGAGGCCAUGUAAUUGGAAUGAGUACACUUUAAAUCCUUUAACGAGGAUCUAUUGGAGGGCAAGUCUGGUGCAGAGCAACUGACCCGAGCGUGCUGCAGCUGAAACUCCACU